CUUGAGAGACCCCACGUGCAGCGGGCGUUCCGCGGGACGCCCCUGGCCGUAGGUGGCGAGGAGUGCCUGGGCCUC
rnacentral:antisense_RNA from 1 species